GGACUACAGGGGUUUCUAAUCCCGUUUGCUCCCCUAGCUUUCGCGCCUCAGCGUCAGUAGAGAUCCAGCAGGUCGCUUUCGCCACCGGCGUUCCUUCCGAUAUCUACGCAUUUCACCGCUCCACCGGAAGUUCCACCUGCCCCUACCUCCCUCUAGCCCACCAGUAUCAGGGGCACUUUUCCGGUUGAGCCGAAAGAUUUCACCCCUGACUUGAUGAGCCGCCUACGCGCCCUUUAAGCCCAGUGAAUCCGAACAACGUUUGCACGGUUCGUCUUACCGCGGCGGCUGGCAC
rnacentral:rRNA from 2 species